rnacentral:rRNA from 1 species
GCGACUUAUAUUCUGUAGCAAGGUUAACCGUAUAGGGGAGCCGAAGGGAAACCGAGUCUUAAUUGGGCGUUAAGUUGCAGGGUAUAGACCCGAAACCCGGUGAUCUAGCCAUGGGCAGGUUGAAGGUUGGGUAACACUAACUGGAGGACCGAACCGACUAAUGUUGAAAAAUUAGCGGAUGACCUGUGGCUGGGGGUGAAAGGCCAAUCAAACCGGGAGAUAGCUGGUUCUCCCCGAAAGCUAUUUAGGUAGCGCCUCGUGAACUCAUCUCCGGGGGUAGAGCACUGUUUCGGCUAGGGGGCCAUCCCGGCUUACCAACCCGAUGCAAACUGCGAAUACCGGAGAAUGUUAUCACGGGAGACACACGGCGGGUGCUAACGUCCGUCGUGAAGAGGGAAACAACCCAGACCGCCAGCUAAGGUCCCAAAGUCAUGGUUAAGUGGGAAACGAUGUGGGAAGGCCCAGACAGCCAGGAUGUUGGCUUAGAAGCAGCCAUCAUUUAAAGAAAGCGUAAUAGCUCACUGGUCGAGUCGGCCUGCGCGGAAGAUGUAACGGGGCUAAACCAUGCACCGAAGCUGCGGCAGCGAACGUAUCACUUAAAACGAUUCAGAAGCUUACGAUUGACGGAGCGAAGCGACGUCAAAGCGUAUACAAAGUCGAGUCGG